rnacentral:rRNA from 1 species
CUCGGAAUAGCCUUUCGAAAGAAAGAUUAAUACCGGAUAGUAUACGAAUAUCGCAUGAUAUUUUUAUUAAAGAAUUUCGGUUAUCGAUGGGGAUGCGUUCCAUUAGUUUGUUGGCGGGGUAACGGCCCACCAAGACUACGAUGGAUAGGGGUUCUGAGAGGAAGGUCCCCCACAUUGGAACUGAGACACGGUCCAAACUCCUACGGGAGGCAGCAUG